GUCCACGGGGAGCCCGCUUCAUUGUCCUCAGCUACGUAGACAACACGUAGUUCCAGCAGUUCAACAGGGACCCCAUGAGGCUGUGGGAGGAGCCGCAGGCACCAUGGAUGGAACAGGAGGGAUCAGAGUAUUGGUAGUGGAACAGGCAGAUCUACAAGGACACUGCACUGACUUUCUGUGGGCGUCUGACCAUUCGGCACACGCACUAUAACCAGAGUGAGGCUGGUGAGCAAGAUGGGCCUGGGUCUUUUCAGUAUAAACCCAUGGCAAAACCCAAGUGAAUCUCCGGACUCUUCCUGGAUCCAGGGUCUUGUUGGCGGACCUACGGCUGAUGCUUGGACCUGGAGACUCAGGGCUGAGUCAUCCUUGAGGACUGAGAGAGCUUGACUCUUUUGAUUCAGACUCCACUCCUUAUACACAGUGCCCUGAACAAAAACUCUCUGAGGGAAGAGAAGGAGGUAAAACAAAGGGC